UCCUCCUCGUAACGCCCCUGCAGGCAACGCAGAAUAUUGGCAUGCUCUAUCCAUAAAGUUGUCCGUCUUCGCAUUAAAAUGUGAUGAAACUCACAGAAACUUUUGGACUGCCUUCAGCAGUCAGCUAUGUUGACGGCACACCUGAACAGCCUUCACACGACCAAGAAGGUGCGACCAAUGCCCGCGUGAAUGACUCGUCAUUCAACGAUUCAACAACGAAAAAGAACAUUGAGCUAUGCGCCACGUUCUGACGAAGAAAAAGAACUAAUGGCCAUUCUCUGUGGGACGAAGAAGAAGAUUAUGGUGUCAUACAUUGCCACGCACUGCGCAGAGGCGACGUAAAUGCAGCCUGAAGUUUCUUUUCCAAGUUCCAGGCGUCCUAAACCUGUAGGAUACAAGGCUCAGAUAGCAGGGCGUUUCCUAGUAGUCGUCUUCAUCAUCAUUUCCAUCCUCGUAGUAUUCUUUUCGGCUUGCACAAUCCUCAUCGCACUGGGCGACUUCAAGUUCCGAGAGGCAUCGACUAAGCUGCAGCAUUUUUGGCUGAAACCCUCAGAUUGUGAGCAGUUGAUUCGUUUUGCCCCAGUGCACUGAU